GACGAACGCUGGCGGCGUGCUUAACACAUGCAAGUCGAACGCUGAAGCUCAGCUUUUGUUGGGUGGAUGAGUGGCGAACGGGUGAGUAACACGUGAGUAACCUGCCUCCUUCUUUGGGAUAACGCCCGGAAACGGGUGCUAAUACUGGAUAUUCACUGGUCUUCGCAUGGGGGUUGGUGGAAAGGGUUUUUCUGGUGGGGGAUGGGCUCGCGGCCUAUCAGCUUGUUGGUGGGGUGAUGGCCUACCAAGGCUUUGACGGGUAGCCGGCCUGAGAGGGUGACCGGUCACAUUGGGACUGUGAAACGGCCCAGACUCCUACGGGAGGCAGCAGUGGGGAAUAUUGCACAAUGGGCGCAAGCCUGAUGCAGCGACGCCGCGUGAGGGAUGGAGGCCUUCGGGUUGUGAACCUCUUUCGCUCAUGGUCAAGCCGCAACAAUGGUUGUGGUGAGGGUAGUGGGUAAAGAAGCGCCGGCUAACUACGUG
rnacentral:rRNA from 1 species